GAGGGUAAAAGCAGGUAUAUUACACAUACUACAUUCCUUAAAUACUACAUUUGUGUAUUUAAUUUAAUAUAAAGAUGAGAUUAGAUUACCAUUUGUAAUAGGAGCUAAACAUUAGUCGAAAAGGUAUUUGUCUACAUGAAUUUACUACCAUUCACUGGUCACUACAGUGGAGCAACAACCAGAGGAAGACAGACCACUACAGUGGAACAACAACCAGAGGAAGACAGACCACUACAGUGGAACAACAACCAGAGGAAGACAGACCACUACAGUAGAACAACAACCAGAGGAAGACAGACCACUACAGUAGAACAACAAACAGAGGAAGACAGACCACUACAGUGGAACAACAACCAGAGGAAGACAGACCACUACAGUAGAACAACAACCAGAGGAAGACAGACCACUACAGUGGAACAACAACCAGAGGAAGACAGACCACUACAGUAGAACAACAACCAGAGGAAGACAGACCACUACAGUGGAGCAACAACCAGAGGAAGACAGACCACUACAGUAGAACAACAACCAGAGGAAGACAGACCACUACAGUGGAACAACAACCAGAGGAAGACAGACCACUACAGUGGAACAACAACCAGAGGAAGACAGACCACUACAGUAGAACAACAACCAGAGGAAGACAGACCACUACAGUGGAACAACAACCAGAGGAAGACAGACCACUACAGUGGAACAACAACCAGAGGAAGACAGACCACUACAGUGGAACAACAACCAGAGGAAGACAGACCACUACAGUAGAACAACAACCAGAGGAAGACAGACCACUACAGUGGAACAACAACCAGAGGAAGACAGACCACUACAGUGGAACAACAACCAGAGGAAGACAGACCACUACAGUGGAACAACAACCAGAGGAAGACAGACCACUACAGUGGAACAACAACCAGAGGAAGACAGACCACUACAGUGGAACAACAACCAGAGGAAGACAGACCACUACAGUAGAACAACAACCAGAGGAAGACAGACCACUACAGUGGAACAACAACCAGAGGAAGACAGACCACUACAGUGGAGCAACAACCAGAGGAAGACAGACCACUACAGUAGAACAACAACCAGAGGAAGACAGACCACUACAGUGGAACAACAACCAGAGGAAGACAGACCACUACAGUAGAACAACAACCAGAGGAAGACAGACCACUACAGUGGAACAACAACCAGAGGAAGACAGACCACUACAGUAGAACAACAACCAGAGGAAGACAGACCACUACAGUAGAACAACAACCAGAGGAAGACAGACCACUACAGUGGAACAACAACCAGAGGAAGACAGACCACUACAGUGGAGUGAAGUGGAACAUUUACAAUUGGUCCUGAGGUCACAGCUAGGGGGCAGGGACUCCCAGUGCUUUAGCCCUCCCACCCUCUGAACCAGCCACUCACCAUGGUCCUUUCCCUUAACGAAGCCCUCCCACUCUGAACCAGCC